rnacentral:misc_RNA from 1 species
GAUCAUUAAAAAGAAUUAUACACUUUGCAUUUGCGAACAAAAAAAUAAAUUUUUUUAUUCGAAUCAUUUAAAUCAAAACUUUCAACAACGGAUCUCUUGGUUCUCGCAUCGAUGAAGAACGCAGCGAAUUGCGAUACGUAGUAUGACUUGCAGACGUGAAUCAUCGAAUCUUUGAACGCACAUUGCGCCUCGAGGCAUUCCUCGAGGCAUGCCUGUUUGAGCGUCGCAUCCCCUCUAACCCCCGGUUAGGCGUUGCUCCGAAAUAUCAACCGCGCUGUCAAACACGUUUACAGCACGACAUUUCGCCCUCAAAUC